rnacentral:lncRNA from 1 species
CCAUUAUCUGACCUUCCUGUUCUGUUGUAGUCAUCAAAAAUAUAUUAAUUUAAUAUUAUGGAGACAUUUUUCCUCUUUUUAUUAAUGAUUUUAUUUGUUUACAAUUCAAAUGAUAACCCCCUUCCCUCUUUCCCCUCCACACACUCACCAUCCCAUCCCCCUCUCCUCUUUGCCUCCACCCACUCCAGAUUCACACUGCUAUAGCAUCGCCCUGCACUGGGGUAUCAAGCCUCCACAGGACCAAGGGCUUCCCCUCCCACUGAUGCCAGAUGAAGCCAUCGUCUGCUACAUAUAGAGCUGGAGCCAUGGAUCUCUCCAUGCAUACUCUUUGGUACCCACAAAGCAACUUCAUUGGAAACUUUUGCCCCAAGGAAUGGCUAAUAGCUUUCCAUUAUGUAAAAAAUUUUGUUGCUGCUUGGAAACAAGAAGUUAGGACGUUGAAUCUUUCAGUGUCUAUUGUUCCUUAUAUGGAUACUUUAUCAGCUGAUCCCUCUGAAGGAGUUUUUACUACAAGCCUUGUCUCUGAUACAAGGAGCUUUAAAAUUUUGGAGUGGUUGUUGUUCAAAGGCAGUAUCUUCUGGCCUCCUCCAAGGGGCUGGCUUCAAGUCUCCAGCUCUGCCCUUUGCAGCACUCUAGGCUCAGGUGGAUCCACUUCACUGAUGCUGCUAUUCUUGGAGAUCAUACCAUGGUACUGGCAUCUCUCACAAGUGUGGUCUUCUGCUGCAAAUAGGCCCCACCAAUAGCCUCUCAUAGGCUCGCUGUCUAUUAAAACUGAGGCUGAACCUUCACCAAUAGCCCCAGAUGCCCUGAUCUUGUCACCCAUGACUGCCAUGUGUGACACAGUUACACCCCACUUGUGACUCCUGACCCAAAGACACCCCAACCCUGCCCAAGCUCUGCUCCUUGGUGCCCCAUUCAACUCACAACCUGAACGAGGCCUUAUGAUGAUGAUGGGACACAGAGUGCUAUUGAAGACGC